rnacentral:rRNA from 1 species
UACGGGGGGGGCUAGCGUUGUUCGGAAUUACUGGGCGUAAAGCGCGCGUAGGCGGCUUUGUAAGUUAGAGGUGAAAGCCCAGGGCUUAACCCUGGAAUUGCCUUUAAGACUGCAUCGCUAGAAUCGUGGAGAGGUGAGUGGAAUUCCGAGUGUAGAGGUGAAAUUCGUAGAUAUUCGGAAGAACACCAGUGGCGAAGGCGACUCACUGGACACGUAUUGACGCUGAGGUGCGAAAGCGUGGGGAGCAAACAGG